AGUUGUUCAGUGCGGGGGCUGACUGAGGAGGUUCGGUGUCUGAGGCCAGCUAGGCGACUCAGUGUUCCCCUUGUCAUUCCAGUUUUCAGGAAGAGCUAAAGAUGGCUGAAUUUGUAGAUGACCAGGAUACUCAACUGUGUGACAACUGCAAAAAAGAAAUUCCUGUGUUUAACUUUACCAUCCAUGAGAUCCACUGUCAAAGGAACAUUGGUAUCUGCCCCAUCUGCAAGGAGCCAUUUCCCAAAUCUGACAUGGAGAUUCACAUGGCUACAGAACACUGUCAGGUCACUUGCAAAUGUAACAAGAAGUUUGAGAAGAUGCACUUAAAGAACCAUGAGGAGACUGAGUGCCCUCUGCGGCUUGCUCUCUGCCAGAAGUGUGAUUUGGAACUUUCUGUUCUCAAACUGAAGGAACAUGAAGAUUACUGUGGUGCGCAGACAGAGCUGUGUAGCAGCUGUGGGCACAAUGUCCUUGUGAAAGAUCUGAAGACUCACCCUGAAGUCUGUGGGAGACGGGAGGAGGAAAAGAGAAAUGAGGGUGCGGUACCUCCAAAUACAUAUGAAGAGUCUUGGGGUCAAGGUGGAAUCUGGAUUGCAUCCCAGCUCCUUAGACAAAUUGAGGCACUGGACCCACACACAAGGCUACCUCGAAGGCACCUGCAAGCCCUGGAGUCAGACCUUUUCCACAGUAGGACUGCCAACCAAAGGAACAUGACAGCGCAUUUUCCAGUUGAGAAUAAUCUAUGUACAGCUGACAAGACCAUGUUGCCUUGUGAGUUUUGUGAGGAGCUCUACUCAAAGGAACUGCUGAUUGACCAUCAGACAAGUUGUAACCCUUCACGUGCCUUACCUUUGCUCAGUACUGGAAGCUCUCCCCCGAGGCGAGAGGAGGAUCCUGACGUCAUCUUCCAGAGCUUCCUGCAGCAGGCUACAAAUAAUCAGUUGGACUCUUUGAUGGGCCUGAGUGACUCAGCCCCUGUGGGAGACAGUAUCAUCAUCCCAUGUGAAUUUUGUGGGGUACAGCUGGAAGAAGAGGUGCUAUUUCAUCAUCAGGACCAGUGUGACCAACGCCCGGCCACAGCCAGCCACCAUGUGAUGGAGGGGAUUCCUCAGCAGGACUCCCAGCCUCACGCGACCUCACCAGAGCUGCCCAGGAGGCGUGUCAGACACCAGGGAGACCUGUCUUCUGGUUACAUGGAUGAUAUCAAGCAGGAAGCAGCUAGAGGCUCCACCAGCAAUGCGGCGGAGAACAUGACAACCAGCUGUACCCAAAUGUCAGAUCCCACAUCAGCCCCCAGAUCUGGUUGCCAGCCCAGCCCUCCCCGGGUGGUGAAGCUCAGCAACUCAGACAGCUAGGGCGCCCGGGGGGCGGAAUCGAAACGGCCCCAUUGGGGCCCAGGCUGCUGCGCCUGCUCCGGGGAUGCACUCCAUGCGCAGUCUGUAUCCAGAAAGCCUUGUGCCCUCUUUCUCUCGAGGGCCUGUAGGGAGGCAUGGAGCCAGUGGUAGGAGUGAAGGUGGCAGGAGCUCCCGAGUCCCCUCUGCAGCCACCAGUUACCGUGGCAGAACUGCAAAGGCCAAGCCCCCAAAGCAGCAGGGAGCUGGGGAUGCAGAGGAAGAGGAGGAGGAGGAGGAGUGAUGUCUGCGGAGACCCCUCCCCUGGGGCCCUACCUUCUAUGCAGAGCAGCACCUGCCGUGGAUCA